GAUGAAGAACGUAGCGAAAUGCGAUACGUAAUGUGAAUUGCAGAAUUCAGUGAAUCAUCGAAUCUUUGAACGCAUAUUGCGCUCUCUGGUAUUCCGGAGAGCAUGCUUGUUUGAGUAUCAGUAAACACCUCAACUUCCAUAUCUUUUUUGAAAUGGGAGUUGGACUUGAGUGAUCCCAACGCUUUUCCUCACCGAAAAGUGGCGGGUUACUUGAAAUGCAGGUGCAGCUGGACUUUUCUCUGAGCUAUAAGCAUAUCUAUUUAGUCUGCCUAAAAAACAGAUUAUUACCUUUGCUGCAGCUAACAUAAAGGAGAUUAGUUCUUGUGCUGACUGAUGCAGGAUUCACAAAGACAGGCUUCGGCCGACUUUGUAAACUCGAUCUCAAAUCAAGUAAGACUACCCGCUGAACUUAAGCAUAUCAAAGCGGAGGA
rnacentral:misc_RNA from 1 species